rnacentral:rRNA from 1 species
GAACGAGAAAGGGGCUUCGGCCCUGAGUAAAGUGGCGCACGGGUGAGUAACACGUGACUAACCUACCCUGGAGUGGGGAAUAACUUCGAGAAAUCGAGGCUAAUUCCGCAUAAUACCUACGGGUCAAAGGAGCAAUGCGCUUGGAGAGGAGUUCGCGGCAGAUUAGUUAGUUGGCGGGGUAAUGGCCCACCAAGACGAUGAUCUGUAUCCGGCCCGAGAGGGCGCACGGACACACUGGAACUGAAACACGGUCCAGACUCCUACGGGAGGCAGCAGUGGGGAAUUUUGCGCAAUGGGGGAAACCCUGACGCAGCAACGCCGCGUGGAGGAUGAAGUAUCUUGGUACGUAAACUCCUUUCGAUGGGGAAGAUAAUGACGGUACCCAUAGAAGAAGCCCCGGCUAACUUCGUGC